UCUCCACUUUAUGAAUGAAUGGGUGUGGCUCUGAGCACACGAGAAAUGAGGCUGCUGCUGAAGGCUGGCCCGGAGUGGAACAUCAACAUAAGUGGGCGCGACCACCGUGGAGAGAGGGCACGGAGCGCAGGAGAGGAGGAAUUCAUUCCCCACAGCAAGGACUUUUAACUCGGGAGAGGCAGAAGAGCAGCCGGGUGGUGGUAAACUAAGUGGACGUCGAGGAGAAAGAGACGCGAAAGAUUCCGCGAGGUGGCUAUCUUUUGAAAGAGAACAGAUGGAGAGGGGUGGUGGUGGUAUGCUGGUCGGAUGAAGUUGACAUCAGUUCCUCCAUUCCGUCUCGCGCCUGUGUUUUUGUGUCAGCUGUGGAAUUUGAACCAUUCUUCCUUCAGGGUGAGGCCUGUCAAUGUGCAGUAGUGCAAUAGGUUCAGGAGGCUGUUUUUGUAUGUGUGUGAAUGCAUGUAUGGAAGGACAAACUAUUCAAAGUCAAAAGCAGGGUCACUAGAUGCAGGACAUUUGCACAUAAAGAGAAGAAAUAACAAAGACGUUGCACAACAUGAGAUCCUCUUCCCAAAACCACAUGAUGUUUAUCCUCUUGGGAAAGUUUUGCAGUGGGAGAACAUAGUGGUGAGCUAAUAGAGAGAGAGGGAGAGAAGCAAGUUAUUGUGCUUGGGCGACGGCACCUCCCUCUCACUGGUUGCAUAGUUUUGAAAAAGACUGUCGAUGAGCACAGAUUCAGCAAUGGGGGGACGUUAAAGAGAUGAGCAUAAUUGAGGGAAGAAGCAUGCAUAAGCAAAGCGAGUUUUGGCUGAGGUCAAAUUACAAGGAGCAAUGAAUUUUGUGGGAAUGAGAUGGAGGAGGACAAAGAUGGGAGAGGAGGAGGAGGAGGGUGUCAACUGCUAGAUUACACAUGGGCAUAGACACAUCCAAACAAAUGUGGAUUAAGCUUUACAUAUGAUGUAAAAUUUAACCCAUUUUGACAUUUUCCAGCAAUUAAAAAAAAAAAAACAUAAAUGUCAUUCCUUCACCCUGAAAUUUGAUGACAUUUCCUAAAGUGACCCAAAAUACAUAAGAUUUAAGAUAUUAAAAAAAUGCCAACGUUAGUGUAAACUGAAGCUGGACCGGCUCAGAUUUGACCCAUGUCUAUUAAAAUGAAAUUUAGGUUUAAACUGGGCAUGUCAUAAAUGUGUGCAUUUUUUUACAGGACAGUGGUAUCUGUGUUCAAGAGAGAGCUUCGAAUAGUCCAGAGAACUGUCUGUGUUUCCACCACUUAUGCAAACGUUUCCCACAGAAACAUGUGCCUGUUGGUCUUUGACCAGUCAUGCGGGAAUUUCAAAAAACAGUGAAAGCGUAAAACAGCAUAAGAAUGAUCAUACAUACUAAGGAACGUAAGUCACAGGUCAGAGUGUUCCUUGACACAGGCGUGAGAUCUGCACCUGCAUAAGCAAGUACCAGCAAAAAUACACUUUCCCUUCUCUCUUGACACGUUGAUUAAGGAUAAAUCAUCCAUUAAAGGACCUAUAGCAGUCAGAUGGCCUAUAUUUCACAAAUAAGGUCCCCUUUUGUAUUAUUAUUAUAAUUUUUUUUUAACUCAAGAAAGUGUAACUGACAAUCAUUUCCAAUAAUAGCAGUCUUCCAUUCUGGAGCAAUCAGUAAAUAACUAAUUGCCCCGGGAAACACAUUUUUCAUCGCCAAAAUCAAUAUGCCUCGUGACGUCACCAAUGGAACUGGAGACUAAAUUUGGAAAUAAUGUAAACAAUGGAAUGUACUAUAAUAUAAAAUGAGAGUAUUUAAUCAUAUUUUAUAUAACGUCGCUGUCGGGCGCAAUCCACCCACCUCCAAACUGACAACUUCUAAGGAAAUUUAAAAAAAAUAAUAAAAAUUCUUGAGUUUCCAAACACUGCUUUAUUCAAGUUGGUGUAUUACCUAAUAUUGCUAUUAUAUACUGUUUCACACUCUCAUCAACACCCCAAAGUUAUGUUCCAUCACAUACAGUAUUUAAUAUGCUAAAGAAUCACUACUUAAUUAUGGUGUCAUUGAUUAAAAAGGUUCAAACACGGCGCUAGCCAGCCAUGCCCAUCAAAGUUAGCCACUGUCACAUGACGGCACUGACCAUACAAAAAGGCAGUAAUACUUCACAAAAGUGUGUCUUGUCAUCUUCCGAAACUCUUUUUAAAAGGUCUUUGUUAUGGUUUGAAACCAAAGAUUGGACCCAAAAGCAGACUGAGACAGAAUAAGUCCUGGGAAGGGGUUUUAUUUUGAGCAGAGGUGGGUAGAGAAGCCAAAUAUUGUACUCAAGAAAGAGUACUGUUACUUUAGAAUAAUAUGACUCAAGUAAAAGUAAAAAGUAAUCAUCCAAAUAUUUACUUGAAUAAGAAAUUACUCAAUGAAAAAACUACCCAAGAGUAACAUGUGAGUAACUUCUGAUUUUUCAUUUUUUUUUCAUGACAAAAGAUUUUUGGAGUCUGUAAAGUAAACACUCGCGCAACUGUUUUUCCUCUCCCCCAAAAUGAGUCAUUAUGAUUGGCUCGCAAAGGCUACGUGCGGGGUCAUGUGACUGCCUUGUGUCAUAUGAUUGGUGACUUGGGAGUCAAAUUACAUUAGUGAUCAUGUUGGAUUGGCGCAACGGGCGCGCUAUAUGGAAGUUGAAGAUGGAGUCUAAAAGUAGAGGCGCACACGCAAGAAUGGAUAAAUAAAAGUAGCGAACGGCAUGUCGAUCAUUGUAACGGAGUAAAAGUAUCGAUCCUUCUUCACAUAAAUACUCCAGUAAAAGUAAAAAGUGUAUUUAAAGUACUCUGACAAGUACAGUUUAUCAAAAAUGUUACUUGAGUAAAUGUAGGGCGUUACUACCCACCUCUGAUUGUGAGCUGUGUGAGAUCUAGAAUCCAGAGGUGUGAGGGUGGUCCGUGGCAGCAGGAGAAUCCAGGAGGCUGGCACGUGAGGAGGUAAGUGAGCUUGGCAGUGUGGUGGACACUGGCAGGCACUGGUAGUUAAAUAACUUUCUUCAACAAGCGAUACUCAAGCAACGAGUCGGCGGUUGUACCACGGAGGUGCGGGAAUACUCUGGCGCUGGAACACUGGGACUGCCGGGCUUAAGUGCAGGCUGUGAUCAGUGCUGAUGGGGCGCAGGCGAGGAGGUGAUCAGUGCUGGAGAGGGAGGGGGAGAGCGGAACAGAGCGCCUCCCAUGCUCUGCGGAGGAGGCUCCAGAGUGCUGAUUACCACAGUACCCACCCUUCAACGGACACCCCCUGGCAUCCUCCCAAGCUUCCCCAGAUGAGUCGCAUAAAAAUCAGUCAUCCAGGAUGAGCUUACGCAAAAUCCAGGAACGUGCCUCCCGACCAUAACCCUCUCAGUCCACGAGGAACUGAAUCUCUUGUGCCCGGGACCGUAUAUCCAGGAUGCAUGACACCGCGAAGGCAGGAUGAUCGUCAACGAGUCGGUAGGGUGGAGGGGGUAUGCCUGGAGGACUGAGAGCACUGGCGGAGACGUGCUUGAGCAGAGAUACAUGAAAUGUGGGAUGGACCUUGAAAGACUGUGGUAACUUUAACUGUACAGAUGGAGGGUUGAUGAUCUUAGUAAUAGGAAAAGGUCUAAUGAAGCGUGGUGUGAGCUUACGUGACUCUGUCUGCAGAGUGAGUUCCUGGGAGGAGAGCCACACCAUCUGACCCAACUUGUACUCAGGUGUAGGGGAGCGAUGGAGGUCAGCCAACCGCUUGUUCUUUUUAACCUAAUGAGUGAGAGCUGCCCUGACGCUCCUCCAUAUUGUCCGAAUGCAUCGCAGGUGCUCCCUCACCGAAGGAACCACCACAGGAUGCUCCUGCUCCGUAAACAGAAGGGGUUGAAAACCUUAGCAUGCCAUGAAGGCAGACAUACCUGUGGCAGAGCUGGUGAAGGAGUUGUGGGCAUAUUCGACCCACGGGAGAAAGGUGCUCCAGGAGGCGGAAUUGCGUGCGGCAACACAUUGAAGAGCAGUCUCUGUCUGGCCAUUGGUCUGUAGAUGGUACCCUGAAGACAGGCUGGCUGCUGCACCCUACUUCCAAACCUGGGGGGAGACCUGGGGGCCUUGGUCAGAGACAAUGUCCAUGGGUAUUCUUUGAAACUUGAACACGGAGAGGACAAGAAGGUCAGCGGUCUCGAGAGCGGAAGGAAACUUAGGAAGGGGCAUGUAGUGAACAAACUUAAAGAAACAAUCUAUGAUGGUAAGAAUGACGGUGCUACCUUCAGAGGGGGGAUGGCGGUAACGAAGUACAGGGCUCCUCAACCACCCAUUCAAUCUCCCAAGUGGGGGCCCCAACAAAGCAGGAGGAGGGAAGUAUGGGGUCAGGUUCCACAGAGCUGGAGGGAAGUGAAUGGAGGCAAGAGAGGGCAUCUGGCUUGCUAUUACGAGAUCCAGGCUGAAAGGAGAGGCUCAAGUUGAAGCGCCUGAGGAACAGGGACCAACGAGCUUGACGGGCGUUCAGACGCUUUGCAGACCGGAGGCAGGUGAGGUUCUUGUGGUCCGUCCAGAAGAUGAAUGGGGUCUGGGGUCCCUCAACCAGUUGCAAGGCAAGCACCACUGGUAGUAGCUCACGGUUUCCUACGUCGUAGUUCCACUCAGAGGGUGACAGGCGGUGAGAAAAGAAGGCACAGAGGUGGAGUUUUUGGGUUCUGGGGUCCCGCUGGGAGGGUAUGACCUCGGAUCCGGUGUCCGAGGCGUCAACCUCUACAACAAACUGUAGGAGGGGUCUGGGUGUUUUUGAACUGCACUGCUGAACAAUUCCUUGAGGCGUUUGAAGGCAAGGAAAGUAGCUGGUGUCCAGCAAAACAAGGAUUUGUAAGAGGUGAGGCUAGUGAGAGGACCCGCCAACUUGCUGUAGUCUCGUAUGAACCGGCAGUAGAAGUUCACGAAACCCAGGAAGCGAUGCAGCUCCUUGCAGGUGGAGGGGAUGGGCCAGAUGGGCCUGAUCACCACAGUCUCGAGUGAUUCAAUAAAUGAAACGAUGAGAUGACAAAACCAAUGUAUACAGGCAGACUUUUUAAAAAUGUAUUUAAGUACUAGAGCGAUCGAUUUUAAAACAAGCCUACUCAAAUGUAUCUAACCUUACUAUUUUCAGUCAUUAAUGUCUCGAAAAAACAUCCAGACUUUCAAUAUAAGCAACAAUUAUGCCGCAGAACACGUACUAGUAUAAUAAGGAAAUGUCCUCGUCCUCCGUCGCCGACGUCAGCAGGCUCACAGAGUUUUGGACCUAAAUGUGAGUGGGCCAAAAUCUGGUAGAAGGUCAAAUAUGUCAUCAAAAAACAAGCCUAAAAUUACAACGGAGUCUUAUUUUGGGGGGAUUUUUUUUUUUUCUGCAGACAUUGUAAAUCCAGAACUAUGGAACAAGUGCCAAAGUUCACAGCAUUAGCGAGGUCCUGGAAUUAAAGUCAGACAGGUUAGCAAUACAUUUGGAAAAGAUAUGGAAUGCAUAAUUUGAUACACUUCUAUAAUGAGAAUACAGUAAUACAAAAUUGACCCGAAAAAUACAGUGUACAUGUGUCAAAAUUGACGGGCAAAAUACUGUGUGCAUGUAAAAUAAACAGUAUGUAAGGGUUAAAUCUUCUUUCACCUCAGAUCAUUCAUCUGACUUUCGGACUUGUGUGUGAAAACUUGUGGUACUAUAGGCCUCUGCUGCUCUGGAUUGUGCUUACAUGUACAGAUCACUCCAUUAACAGCUCAUGCAGUAUCGAGCUGUGUGUGUCGAGAGAUGAGGAUAAGAAUGUGUCUACAGUGAAGACGGGAGAGGGCAGGGCUGGGCAGAACCAAGUGGCCAAGGGGAGAUAAGAAAACCCACAGGGUGCGUUAGCUGCACGUCCGCUGAGCCAGGGCCAGAGAAAGAGGAGGGGGGCCUGUAAUGAUAGAGGAGCAUAUUACACAACUUCACCUGUUGAUAGAAUGUGGUGAAAGAGGGCAAGGUUUGCAAGAUUCUCGGGCCAGACGUUGGGCGCAGCUGGAUUGAUCCACUUUAUUCACAAUUUAAAGCUCGUUCUCUUGAAAUCAUGUGAUUGGGGAACAUUUUACCAAUAGUGUCUAUGUAGCAUAGCAGACAACAGUAACGUUAACAUCAGUGCUAACACAACAUGAAAGGUGGCCUCGCUGGUUCGUAAACUUUAUUGAUAACCAAGUUUGUACUGUACAAACUGCCACCAGUAGAGACGUCUGCUUUGGCUUUGACAUUGCUCAGCUUCAAAUGACGAAUAAACAAACCCAAGGUGGGACAGGGUCAGCUAAAUUUGCAGCUGAGGAAGUUGGGCUGGAUUUUUCUGCUUGAAUUGUUGUAUGUGAAGGUGUAUCUGUAGCUGUUCUCUAGCUCAGGAUGUUGCAGUAUUGUACUCUACAGUCUCUCCACUUUGAUGCCGUCGUCCAUUUUCUUGCUUUACUCUUAACUUUGUCUCCUUACCAAGGCCAACAGCCACACACUGUGAACUAAAUAGGAACUAUCCAUCUCCUCCAUUAUUGUUGUUUCAUCAGUUACUUGGUCACAGUUUGUAGUUUUGCAGUGUGUUACAGUGCAAGAUUGGGUACACAAAGCACAGCAUUCAGUCCCGGGGUGUUUCCUUCUUGAGCAUCUGCUCAUCUCGUUCAGGCCUGAAAGCUGAUCUUCUUGGCAUGUGAACAUGUAUAUGCUCCAAACUGAGACUACAUGCAUAUCUUACUGUGAGAUCUGAAUCUUCUCAGGCUUUUGUCAUGUGUUGUAAUCAAUUUGUGGUUGAACAGGUGGGUGUUAGUCUCUGACUAAACCACACAAUGACCACUUCCCUUGUUUGUAUGAUCAGACAGAACCAUACGGCAGUUCCUGUGUUUACCAAUGUAGUCUGUGUGUGUUUCUCUGUCUUCCAGCGAGUUGUCAUAUCUUGCCCAUUAAAUCACUUGCUUUCCCCACAAUGGCAAUAAUCUCCAAUUGUAUUACACGUCAUCAUCACUGGCUUGCAAGAAUUGAAAAAUGGAAAUCCACAGUUAGAACCUUCAUCGACAUCACACACUCCCAAGGCUUAUAUCGGAGCGGGGGUGCUGUAAGGGGGAGAAGAGUGGUAAUUAUUCUCAUGGUCCGUAGAAAAUAGUAUUUUCAAUUUCCAGUCUUGAAAUUGUAGGGCCCAAAGUCAAAUUUUUUCAUUGGACUCCAAAUCUCUGGUCUUUCCCCUGAAAAAGAGGAGUUUGAAAGUUUUUCGAAAGCCAGUAAGUGCAUCGGUAACAGUGUGUGCCUUCUCGUGCAGCACUACACCGUAUUCUUAUACUUCUGCGCAAACUAGGUUAUUAUCAUCAGAAGCACUGAACUACAUUUACAACCAUCCAUCCAUCCAUCUAUUCUCAAUACUGCUUAUCCUGUUCAGGUGCUUUUCCCAGCUGACUUCGGGCAAAAGGCAGACUACACCCUGAACUGGUCACCAGUCAGUCGCAGGUCAUAUACAGACACGGACAACCACACGCACUCACAUUCAGACCGUCACUGAGUGGGAUCGGUUCCGAAGUCAGGCGAAUGCACCACUACACCAUCAGUGACUCAUUUACAACAUAAAUUCUAAUAUUUUUUCAAAUUCAAUUGUUUUAGUUCAUUACCAACAGUCUCAUCUUAAUUUUGUAGCGUUUCUCUUGGCUGCACUGUUUCCAUUUUUUUGUGAAUGUUUAUUAGAUUUUGUCCGAUGAAAUUU